rnacentral:rRNA from 1 species
GACGAACGCUGGCGGCGUGCUUAACACAUGCAAGUCGAACGGUGUAGCAAUACACAGUGGCGCACGGGUGCGUAACACGUAUGCAACCUACCUAUCAUUGGGGGAUCGCCUUUGGAAACGGAGAUUAAUACCGCAUAAGACAGUGACAUGGCAUCAUGUAGCUGUUAAAGCUUUGGCGAUAAUAGAUGGGCAUGCGUCCAAUUAGCUAGUUGGUGAGGUAACGGCUCACCAAGACGAUGAUUGGUAGGGGAUCUGAGAGGAUAAUCCCCCACGCUGGCACUGGGAUCUGGACAAGACUCCUACGGGAGGAAGAGGUAGGGAAUAGUGGGAAAGGGACGGAAGUCUGACCCAGGCAGGCAGCGGGCAGGAGGACGGCGUUAGGGGUUGUAAACUGCUUUUUUAAAGGAAGAAGAAGCCCGUGCGAGGGAAAGUGACGGUACUAUAAGAAUAAGCACCGGCUAACUCCGUGCCAGCAGCCGCCGUAAGAC